GAAUUGUUCAUUGCACUUUCUUGUCCUUUAGAAGUGCAGGAAGAAGAUUCAUGAAGUGGAUCAUUCCUGUGACGAGCUGACUGGGCUUCAAGCUGUGGGAACAGUAGAAAGAUUUAUGCCAGGAAGAUAUACGAAAGGUACCAGAAAUGCAGCUGAUCUUCCCAUUGGAGAGAAGAAAUCUACAAGCAGUUGACAAACUGCACAGCUCAGCA